ensembl:lncRNA
GGGUAACGGGGUUGAAGAGACAAAUACAUCUUAACAUACAAAUAGUUGUUUUUUACUCGAAUUUUACUCCAAUUCACUGUAAGAUUUUCAAUAAACACUGUAUUUCAUUAAAGACAACAGACAGAAAUUGCAAUUGAACAGUUUUAUUAACCUGACUGCAGGAAAAACAACAAUAACAUGGUAUACAUUAGAGCAUUAUAAACUGUGAAUACUUUCUGGAUGCACUGUAGAUGGGUAAAAGGUCUUGAAAAAAGGAAUCUGGUAGAUGGCUGCCAAAACGGCGAGCAGCCAUCAAUCUGAUGGUUUUUCAGUCAGUAAACUAUCACAUACAACUUAAAAAACUAAUAGAAGUUUUAUUAAUUGCACUUUUAAUCUUCUAACACUCAGCCUAGUCAUAUUUUUACACUCUUAACUGCUCAUUGCUCUACCUUGAAGAUCCUGGACAUGGAUACUGCUCUGGGGCAUCAUCUGGACUUUGUGGAGGAGUGGUUAAGUUCCUCAGUGCUUCUCUCCUCUCCUUAAUACUGUAGCAGUAGGGGAUUUUCCUUUUUUUUUUUUCUGCAGUCGUUACCCUUAUAUGGGAAUGGGUGGAUGAGGUAAUUAGGGCAGGUGUAUUUAAGCUUGUAGAUUGGAAGCCCUAGAACGUAGGCUUUGUCAUACCCGCCCCUCUUCCGGUGUUAUUGCAGUCUCGUGAUUGCUGUAACCGUCUUGGCAGCGUGCCCUGGGAGUUGCGUCAAGCACUGAUUGUAAGCUUUCAGAACAUUCGCGAGUGCAUCCAGAUAUUGUGAUGUUUGAUUUUUCGUGUGUCGCCUGCGUACCACGUGAUGGUUAACUCAGGUCGUGCUGCUGUUUUUCAUGAAUAUUUUUUUUUUCUUUUUGUCUUUCGUGGAUGGAUUAUUUUCUUAGGAGUUCAUAAUUUCAGUAGUCUCUGUGUUCUGUUUUUUUUUUAUGGUUUGGGUUUUGUUUUUGUGUGUAAAUGGUUUGACCAGUGUGUUUUGGGCUGUAGUGGCCGUGUGGUGUAAUUAUUUAGCAGUGUGUUAUCAUUAUAUUUGUGCCCGAUGUGAUCGUGACGAUUUUGUAUUUCACCUAACUUACUAAUUUUUCUUGUUUUGGUUCGAGUCAAGGCUGAGUGCACCGAGGGGGAGGCUAGUCACCUGGGUGCACACAUUUACUGUGAGUUUGGAGCACCAGGGUUUGAGCAUCUCUUCCUAUUUUGUUUGCUGUGUACACGUAAGUGGUUGAGAGCACAAUUGUUUCCAGCUAGCUUGCCACCCCUAAAGUAAGCUUUAGCCUUGCAGUUUCUAUUAAUUUAUUAUUAUUUUUUUUGUGUGUGUGCUUUGUUUUAUGGGAGCAGUAUAGUAUUUUUUUCUUUAUUUAGUUUGUGAUUCAGUACUGUAAAUCAUGUAUGUCUGGAGGAAUGUUCUUUUAACAUUGUAAACCUUAGUGUUGUCCUAAUAAACUUGCCUUAAUUUACA